AUCCGCACAGAUGAUUCACUCUUUGUUUCCCCAAAUUUCUUCUGCAAAUUGAAAAUUUCACUCUCUUUCUCCGUCAACAUUUUCUCCACUUCAGAAUCUAUCUAUCAAUUAUAUAAUACAAUACAUAUUGGAGAGCUGACAAUGAUUCUCUAUCCUAUGUGGCGCUCCCUAAGCCUCUCUAUUCUGUUUUAUCUAAAUUCUACUACCUUUUACUCAAAAAAAAACACACGCUUCUCAGUUCUCACAGCAAUCAAUCCCUAAUUUGGUAUUUUCUCGGCAUAGCUUGAUCAAUGGCUCAAAUCUCUCUCUCUCUCUCCAUAUCAAUGCAAACGCCCUAAUUUGGUAUCUGACGCCUUACCAUAGGAGCCUCCAUGGUAUGCCAGCUCUUCUCUGACGCCCUACCAUAUAUGCGCCUCUCUUCCCCUCCCAAAUCUAGAAUCAUAAGUCGUCGCCGCCGGCUUCGUCUCCUUCAGUCGCUGCCGCCGCCGGCUGCAGCUCACCAGGGAAUGCCCCAUUCUUUGCAAGAUUGAGCUCAAACAUGUUUGGUUCCGAUCCAGGAUCGUAGGUUACGAACCUUGCUAAAGAGGCAAAGAAAGAAAGGAAUGCUCUGUCCAAGGAGGUUGCAAAGAUCAGCAACCAUGGAAUCUCAGUCUGAAUCUCACCACUUUUGCUCUUUCUUCCAUGGAUAUGAGGUCUUCAUUAUCAGUUUUAUUUUUUCAGAUAAUUGAUUGGUAAGUUUCCGACGUUGAAUAAAAUUUCACAUCAAAGUUGUAGCUCAGAAAAUCUCUGUUGAACAAGUACAGCUAAAAUCAAAAGUAAACAUACCAACUUCGGCCCUGUUUUCCAUUUCUUUUCAAGGAAGUCACUCAAGCAUUGUGAUGUCUAAAUCUUAAUCUUGUUUAUGCGCUUAA